UAGGGAAUAUUGGACAAUGGGGGGAACCCUGAUCCAGCCAUGCCGCGUGUGUGAAGAAGGCCUUAUGGUUGUAAAGCACUUUAAGCGAGGAGGAGGGUACUGGUAUUAAUACUACCAGGUACUGGACGUUACUCGCAGAAUAAGCACCGGCUAACUCUGUGCCAGCAGCCGCGGUAAUACAGAGGGUGCGAGCGUUAAUCGGAUUUACUGGGCGUAAAGCGUGCGUAGGCGGCUAAUUGAGUCGGAUGUGAAAUCCCCGAGCUUAACUUGGGAAUUGCAUUCGAUACUGGUUAGCUAGAGUGUGGGAGAGGAUGGUAGAAUUCCAGGUGUAGCGGUGAAAUGCGUAGAGAUCUGGAGGAAUACCGAUGGCGAAGGCAGCCAUCUGGCCUAACACUGACGCUGAGGUACGAAAGCAUGGGGAGCAAACAGG
rnacentral:rRNA from 1 species